UCCUUGGUCGUAUAUCGGUUAGUACACCCGCUUGUCAUGUAAACAGUGUUCUGCAUAUGUACCGCGGGAAAGCUGGGUUCAACUCCCAGCCAAGGAG